AGGGGUGAAGGGGUGACUAGUGGCAGAGUGAGGGAAAGAAGGGGUGACUAGUGACAGAGUAAGGAAGGGGGUGACCCCUCCCUCACUCUGUCACUAGUCACCCCUUCCCUCACUCACUCAGUCACCCCUUCCCUCACUCACUCACUCAGUCACCCCUCCCUCCCUCCCUCACUUUGUCGCUAGUCACCCCCUCACUGUCACUAGUCACCCCCCCUCACUGUGUCACUAGUCACCCCUUCCCUCCCU